AACGAACGCUGGCGGCGCGUCUUAACCAUGCAAGUCGAGCGGCAGGCAGCAAUGCCGAGAGCGGCGGACUGGUGAGUAACACGUGGAUAACGUACCCCGAUGUCCGGGACAGCCUGUAGAAAUAGAGGGUAAUACCGGAUAGAUCACUGUUUACGUGAGGUAGACAGCGGGAAAGGAGCUUCGGCUCCGCGACGGGAUCGGUCUGCGGCCCAUCAGCUGGACGGCGGGGUAAAGGCCCGCCGUGGCGAGGACGGGUAUCCGGCCUGAGAGGGCGGACGGACACAUUGGGACUGAGAUACGGCCCAGACUCCUACGGGAGGCAGCAGGUAAGAAUAUUCCGCAAUGGGGGGAACCCUGACGGAGCGACGCCGCGUGAACGAAGAAGGCCGGAAGGUUGUAAAGUUCUUUUCUGUCCGAGAAAUAAGUUUCGGAGGAAAUGCCGGGACGGUGACGGUAGGGCAGGAAUAAGCACCGGCUAAUUACGUG
rnacentral:rRNA from 1 species